CGGAGGGUCCAAGCGUUGUCCGGAUUUAUUGGGGUUUAAAGGGUGCGUAGGCGGUCUUUUAAGUCAGAGGUGAAAGCCCACAGCUUAACUGUGGAACUGCCUUUGAUACUGGAAGACUUGAGUACACUAGAGGUAGGCGGAAUUUAUGAUGUAGCGGUGAAAUGCAUAGAUAUCAUAAAGAACCCCUAUAGCGAAGGCAGCUUACUGGAGUGUAACUGACGCUGAGGCACGAAAAGCGUGGGUAGCGAACAGGAUU
rnacentral:rRNA from 1 species